rnacentral:rRNA from 1 species
CAGUCGCCGCGGGAAAACGGAGGGUGCAAGCGUUGUCCGGAUUUAUUGGGUUUAAAAGGGUGCGCAGGCGGGGGGUCAGUCCGCGGUGGAAGACGAUCGCUCAACGAUUGCAGUGCCGUGGAUGCUGCCCUUCUUGAAUCCGGUUGAGGCCGGUGGAAUUGACCGUGUAGCGGUGAAAUGCAUAGAUAUGGUCAAGAACUCCAAUUGCGAAGGCAGCCGGCUGGGCCAGCAUUGACGCUCAGGCACGAGAGUGCGGGGAUCAAACAGGAUUAGAUACCCCGGUAGUCCCUGUCUCUUAUAC